CAAGCAAUUACACUGGAGAGCUGUUGAAAUCCAUCGUGGGUCCAACAUUACUUUACAUGGACAGAGUGAUUGAAAUGCAUCUGGGAUGCUAUGUUUCAGUCACGACAGGGUGGGAGCCAGACAAGACCAGCAUGAGAAGAAGGGAGAUAGGCAGGCUAACAAGGCUCAGCAUGGAAGCAGACAGUAUCUAGCAAUGAGGAAGAAAAAGUGGUACACCAAGAUUAUAACUUCUAUGUCCCUAUCAGAAAGACUUUUGCCUUUCCAAUGGUGAGAGGAAAUAUUGAACGUGUUCUAUAAAUGCAGGAAGUACCCAACAAGUGCCACUACUGGAGAUGAUUAUUAGAAGCUGUAUGAUUACAGUGGUAUAGCUCAAGCAUGAAUCCCAUUCUG